GUGACGUGAUGAAGUUGUUUAUCCAUUCUCUGAGUGCCGCUGAUCUGGACUCUGCGGCCCCUUCUGUUCCGUUCUGGGCCAGGGGGGCUUUCAGCCGCCGGGCCCCGCCCGACUGUUCCAGUGUUCUAUUGGUUCAGGCGGCGCGUGGGUCACGGGGGCUGGUGCAGGGCCUGAGAGCAGCCACGACAAAGACGAACCAGAACUUCUGAUCAC